rnacentral:rRNA from 1 species
GACGAACGCUGGCGGCGUGCCUAACACAUGCAAGUCGAGCGGAAGACUUCGGUCUUCAGCGGCGGACGGGUGAGUAACACGUGGGUAACCUGCCUCAUAGAGGGGGAUAGCCUCCCGAAAGGGAGAUUAAUACCGCAUAACAUCAUGCUAACGCAUGUUAGUGUGAUCAAAGGAGUAAUCCGCUAUGAGAUGGACCCGCGGCGCAUUAGCUAGUUGGUGAGGUAACGGCUCACCAAGGCGACGAUGCGUAGCCGACCUGAGAGGGUGAUCGGCCACAUUGGAACUGAGACACGGUCCAGACUCCUACGGGAGGCAGCAGUGGGGAAUAUUGCACAAUGGGCGAAAGCCUGAUACAGCAACGCCGCGUGAGUGAAGAAGGCCUUCGGGUUGUAAAGCUCUGUCUUUUGGGACGAUAAUGACGGUACCAAAGGAGGAAGCCACGGCUAACUACGUGCCAGCCGCCGCCGUAAAAC